rnacentral:lncRNA from 1 species
GGAGAUGGGUAGUAUCAUUUAGAUUAACAUUUGGGGCCUGAUAGGGGAAAUGGUGAAGCAAUGGAAAAGAACAGACAACUAAUGAUUUGCUUCUAUGUCCAGAAUAUUUUACCUUUAAAAAAAAUGUCAUUGGCACCAUAAAUAAGGACUGUGAGAGACUGUUUAAAAGCUGUGAAUGUCUGAAACCUAUAAGCCAAGGUGUUCCCUGCCUAAACUUAUUGCUGUUCCCACAAAGGACUAAGCCUGUUCAUAAGUUACCAAAGUUGCCAUUUUGGAGAUGGAAAUUGACAAGGAGGGAAGGUCUUUUAUUGGAGAGUAUACAGUACAAGCAGAUCAUUCUGUCUUAGAGGUGCUAAUUCCUGAAAUUAGAAGACCCUUUCUUUUCCAGUAACGAAGUUAUAAAUAUCAGCUUGUUCAUCCAAGACACUGGCUGAGGUGUUAGGGAAGAGGAAGAGGGUGGUAGAGGAGAUAAGACAGUAGGGAAAG